AAAUUGAAGAGUUUGAUCAUGGCUCAGAUUGAACGCUGGCGGCAGGCCUAACACAUGCAAGUCGAACGGUAACAGGAAACAGCUUGCUGUUUCGCUGACGAGUGGCGGACGGGUGAGUAAUGUCUGGGAAACUGCCCGAUGGAGGGGGAUAACUACUGGAAACGGUAGCUAAUACCGCAUAACGUCGCAAGACCAAAGAGGGGGACCUUAGGGCCUCUUGCCAUCGGAUGUGCCCAGAUGGGAUUAGCUAGUAGGUGGGGUAAA
rnacentral:rRNA from 1 species